CCUACGGGAGGCAGCAGUGAGGAAUAUUGGUCAAUGGCCGGAAGGCUGAACCAGCCAUGCCGCGUGAAGGUCAGUGCCCUAUGGGCGUUAAACUUCUUUUGUGCGGGAGCAAUAAUGGUCACGUGUGGCCAGACGAGAGUACCGUACGAAUAAGCAUCGGCUAACUCCGUGCCAGCAGCCGCGGUAAUACGGGGGAUGCAAGCGUUAUCCGGAUUUAUUGGGUUUAAAGGGUGCGUAGGCUGUGAGGUAAGUCAGCGGUGAAGUGCCCCCGCUCAACGGGGUGAAGUGCCAUUGAUACUGCCUGGCUGGAAUGCGGAUGCCGUGGGAGGAAUGUGUGGUGUAGCGGUGAAAUGCAUAGAUAUCACACAGAACACCGAUUGCGAAGGCAUCUCACGAAUCCGCGAUUGACGCUGAUGCACGAAAGCGUGGGUAUCAAACAGGAUUAGAUACCCUAGUAGUC
rnacentral:rRNA from 1 species